GACGAACGCUGGCGGCGUGCCUAAUACAUGCAAGUCGAACGCAGGGGGGACGGGGGAGUAACACGUGGGUAACCUCCCAUCAGAGGGGAUAACACUUGGAAACAGGUGCUAAAACCGAUAUUGAUGGAUGAGCCCGCGGUGCAUUAGCUAGCUGGUGAGGGAACGGCUCACCAAGGCCACGAUGCAUACCCGGCCUGAGAGGGUGAUCGGCCACACUGGGACUGAGACACGGCCCAGACUCCUACGGGAGGCAGCAGUAGUGAAUCUUCGGCAAUGGACGCAAGUCUGAUCGAGCAACGCCGCGUGAGUGAAGAAGGUUUUCGGAUCGUAAAACUCUGUUGUUAGAGAAGCGGUAUCUAAACAGAAAGCCACGGCUAACUACGUGCCAGCAGCCGCGGUAAUAC
rnacentral:rRNA from 1 species